UUGAAGAGGUUUGGAAAGACCCACCACAGAAGGUAAUAGUCCUGUAUGUUAAACGAGAAGACUUUAGAUAUGAUCCAGAGUACCACGGGACACGUGAAACCCUGUGGGAAGCAGGAGGGACCACCCUCCAAGGCUAAAUACUACCUAGUGACCGAUAGCGUAUAGUACCGUGAGGGAAAGGUGAAAAGAACCCCGGGAGGGGAGUGAAAUAGAACCUGAAACCCUGCACUUACAAGCUGUGGAAGCACAUUUCUUGUGUGACCGCGUACUUUUUGUAGAACGGGCCAACGAGUUACGUUAAGUAG
rnacentral:rRNA from 1 species